rnacentral:rRNA from 1 species
UACGAAGGGGGCUAGCGUUGUUCGGAAUCACUGGGCUUAAAGGGCGCGUAGGCGGGCAAGCAAGUCGAAGGUGAAAUCCCACGGCUCAACCGUGGAAGUGCCCCCGAUACUGCUUGUCUUGAGGGAGAUAGGGGCGUGCGGAACUUCCGGUGGAGCGGUGAAAUGCGUAGAUAUCGGAAGGAACACCGGUGGCGAAAGCGGCGCGCUGGAUCUCUUCUGACGCUGAGGCGCGAAAGCCAGGGGAGCAAACGGG